UAAGACGAACCGUCCAAACGUUAUUCGGAAUCACUGGGCUUAAAGAGUGCGUAGGCGGCCUAGAAAGUUGGGUGUGAAAUCCCACGGCUCAACCGUGGAACUGCGCUCAAAACUGCUAGGCUUGAGGGAGAUAGGGGUGAGCGGAACUAAUGGUGGAGCGGUGAAAUGCGUUGAUAUCAUUAGGAACACCGGUGGCGAAGGCGGCUCACUGGGUCUUUUCUGACGCUGAGGCACGAAAGCUAGGGUAGCGAACGGGAUUAGAUACCCCGGUAGUCCUAGCUGUAAACGAUGAGCACUAGGUCGAGGGGACUUCCACAUCUUCUCGGCCGUAGCGAAAGUGUUAAGUGCUCCGCCUGGGGAGUAUGGUCGCAAGGCUG
rnacentral:rRNA from 1 species